GAGCUGCAAGUCUGUGACUCUGCCAUUCACUCCGUGAUGAGCCUGGUAAACCACGAAGCAUUAUUUCUGACUGCUGAUCAUGCAAGCUGUUCGGGAGCAAAAACUUGAGCGCGGGAGUGGUUUACAUUCGUGGUACCGGUUCCUGGAUCAACCUCUACUUUUAGCAGCCCUUGGGAUAACAGGUGCUCUAAACACCCCUUUCACACCUCUGCUUGCCUUCUGCCUGGUGAUCCCAAAGCAGCAGGAAUCAAUGAAACCGGUCAGGAAACCAAUCAUCCACCUGGGAUGCAGAGGGCGAGGGGAGGUGUGAUUUCUGCAGCUGAAUUUCUGGAGGUCGUGAUGAAGCCAGCAAAGAGAGAAGCAGGGAGAAGCCCCCGGCUCUACAUCAGGCCAAGAUUACAAAGAAGGAAGAAAGAAAGAAAUGCAUCUGGGCUUAUAUCCAAUUGGAUUACUGUCAACCACAUCCAGCUGAGAAGGGAAAAGACAGAUGUAUUGAUGGUCACUGAAAUGAGAUGGAACAAAAGACGACAACCUGAGCAGAGAAGAAAAGAUUUUGAUUGCUUUGUAAGGCUGUGCAGCAAACAAGGCAACUUCGCUGACAUCUUGGCUUCUUGGUUUUGGUUUGGAAUUGAUGCUAUAAAACGAAUACUUUGUGUUAUUGCAACACCGAGUCUCCCUUCCUCUAAUGUGCAUUUAAUUCUGCACUGA
rnacentral:lncRNA from 1 species